GACGAACGCUGGCGGCGUGCUUAACACAUGCAAGUCGAACGGAAAGGCCCUGCUUUUGUGUGGUGCUCGAGUGGCGAACGGGUGAGUAACCCGUGAGUAACCUGCCCUUGACUUUGUGAUAACUUCAGGAAACUGGGGCUAAUACCGGAUAGGAGCUCCUGCUGCAUGGUGGGGGUUGGAAAGUUUCGGCGGUUGGGGAUGGACUCGCGGCUUAUCAGCUUGUUGGUGGGGUAGUGGCUUACCAAGGCUUUGACGGGUAGCCGGCCUGAGAGGGUGACCGGCCACAUUGGGACUGAGAUACGGACCAGACUCCUACGGGAGGCAGCAGUGGGGAAUAUUGCACAAUGGGCGGAAGCCUGAUGCAGCAACGCCGCGUGCGGGAUGACGGCCUUCGGGUUGUAAACCGCUUUCGCCUGUGACGAAGCAUGAGUGACGGUAAUGGGUAAAGAAGCACCGGCUAACUACGUG
rnacentral:rRNA from 1 species